rnacentral:lncRNA from 1 species
UGCUCCCCCUGGAACAGGAGAGAUCUCUGUAGGGCAGAGAGGAGAGGAGAGCCGGGAGUAGGUGUCGCUCGCUCGCCCGCGGCGGGUAGCUCCAGGACGUCAGGCUGGAAUGCGCGCUCGGGUUCCGGGGGCGCGGCUGGAGCGGACGCCCGGGCCCUGGGCACAGUCCCCGGGCCCUGGACACGCUGGCCUGGCCGGGAGCGGGCGCAGUUCGGCGUCGGAAAGCUGGUGAGGCCCUUCCCGCCGCGGGGUGCGGGCUACCAGCCGCGGGAAAGUACGGCGGGGAAGGAGCGCGCGCCCCCUUCCCGGACCGCCUUUGUUCGCCCUGGCCUGCCGGCGAAGGUGCCUGGAGGUCGGGGUCCCGGGAGCGAGCCGCCGCCUAGGUGCCGCAGGUCCAGAUUGUACUGAAACAUUCACUUACCCUGGCAGAAGAGCUCACCCGAGACAUCUUUGAAGCCGUUACAGCAUCCUGCCUGUGGUCUGCUAUACAGUGUGUGACGAAUAAUAUUUGUUGAGUUAACUUAAUGUAGAUAUUACCUACUUCUUGGGGCUCCACAGCAUAAAGGCUGGGAAUAAAUGGUAGGUAAUUUAUUGCAAUAAAUGUUGAUUGGCUGGCACAAAAACAAGUUACAUAUACACCUUGUGCUUUAUAACAUCUUUUACUCUGUGUGCUCUGUGUUGUAAGUCCUCAAUCAAAGCUUGUUUCUAAAUAUACAGAUUAGGACACAUGAGCUGUUACUUGACAACAGACAUUAACUGGUUUCUAUGCUCAUCCUCUUUCGAAAUUGCCAUUUUUCAUACCAUGAUUUGACUUGCGCUCACCUUUAUGAUCUUCUUUUCUAUCUUUUCCCUUCACCCUACCUUCUAGCAAAAUUGUGCUUUGGGCAUUCCCCACUCAAGCCACAUCUAUUUCUAUUGUGUUUUUUGAAUUCCUGUCAGUUUGUCCUGGGAUGUCUUUCUCCCUGUUAAUCCCACCCUUUUAAACCAGCUUAAAUGCUACCUGUCUCACUCCCUUCUCUCUCUGAAUUCUCUUCUCCUUUCCUCCCCAACCCCCUGUUUAAAUUCUUUGCAUUUUUCUAGGUCCUGCUAAUUUUAUACUACUUUCACAAAGCCUUCCUUAAUUUCUAUUUCCUUCCCCUACCCCUCUUCUCAGAGACAAGCUCUUCCUUCACAGAGUACCUUUUUUAGUACAGGGAUUUCCAACAUCAGGAUCAUGGAUGGCUUUUUACACUGCCCCCAUCCCCAACUGAAUACAACAUUUUGAAUGUACCUCAGUCAAUUUUCCUGGGGCAAAGCCUUCCUAAGAAAUCUCAAGAAUGUCUGAAAAGCCUAGCUUGAGAGAACAUUGAUCUUAUAGUGACCCAGAUAAAGCAGUCAUUGUGUCUGAGGAGUCCUGGCAGGGGUGGGUGGGGUUGGCAGUGGUGGCAAUUUUCAGCAUGUUUUACAUCAAUUUAACGGGAGGGCAUGCAUUUUAGGCAAGAAAUCUUAACUCUUCUUGAUAGGUGAACUGGUACUUUGACUCAUUCAAAUCACUGGUUCACAUCUUUAAUCAUGUUCACCCCUUGCGUAUCAUUUUAUGAGCUACCUUUGAGUAUAUCUUCAGUUUCCCUGCCAUUAAACGUGAAAAAGUUUUGAUACAGCUUUUUAAAAUAAAAGAAUGACAAACUAGGGCUAGGGUGUUUGUGUGUGUACAACGCCUUUCCUUUAACUUCAUUUAAUACUUGGUCAUCGAAUUCUUGUUCAAAACAUUGUGAGUCCUAGGCUUUUUUUUCUUCCUUCCUUUCCUUCUCUCCCUGAGUCUUUUUUUUUCCCUCCCUUCCUGCCAUUUUGGAUCUCCUUCUCUAGAUCCCCCAAUAUUUGUAGAAGAAAGACUUUAUGUACCCAAAGGACACACACUUAUGAGGUCAUUUUCCUUACUGUCUAGUGAAGCAGUGCCAGGACUACUGGGAUCAUGAAAAAGAAGAAAAUUUGAGAUAGAGGGUUAAGAAAAGGGUAUAUUAUAAAGAAAAGGAAAAUAACCUCUACCAAAUGCAGAUGGCAGCAAAACAAAAUUGACUCCAAUCUUAGUAAAUGCAG